AAGUAAUAACACACACGUAUCGACACAUACACCGGGGUGCUCUGGGACUCGUUCUGCAGGGUCGGUGUUAUGGGAUACGUGGAGGCAUAAC
rnacentral:sRNA from 1 species